AAUUCAAAAAUAUGCAAAAAAUGUCAUUAUGUCCCAGAAAUCAGAUUAUGAUAUAUAUUUAUAUAUCUAUAAGGUAUAGCUUCUAUUAUUAUUCGACGUUAAACGUCUGUAGCCAGAAGGUUGUGUUAAUUACACCUGUUAAUACAACUUUUGAGAAAAUCGAAAAAUGACCUUCUUAAAAUACCUCCCCACACCGAUUUCCUUUCAGAAAAGGUGCUACUCUUAAAAAUCAAAGCAAGAUUUCUGGUAGAAAAGUUGUCCAUAGAUAAAAAAAAAAGUAAAAAAAUAAACAUGUAAAACCAUAAGCUUCUUCGCUCCAUUUAGAAUCUAAAAUCAGAGCAAGAUUUCUAUUAAAAAAGUUGUUUACAGAAUACAGAGAGAAAAAAAGAGCACACACCAUUAUAGUAAAACCAAUACAUUCCUCACUGCGCUCAAAAUAUAAAACUAAACCAGGAGUAUCAUUUAUGUGUCAGUACGGCGCGCGGCAUGUUGAUAAUGCACCACCACUCUCUUUCAACUCAAACUUAAAAGUGGAAUAUCUCGUCAACGGAUCUACGGAAAUCAAAAAUGUCAACACUGAAAUUUCUUUUUAACUAAUACUCCAUUUAUUUGUAGACUUUUUAGUAUAGGUUGCCGUUUGAAAAUCAAAAGUAGGUAGUGGUUUUACCCCCAAAAAUAAGGGUGACAAAAUAUAACAUAAUAAUACAAUUGUAGAACAGCUUGUUUCUUAAAUAUUCUAGAAAAAAAAUUUAGGAAAAAUUUAAUAUUUUCCGAGAUUAUGAGUAUACCCACUUAAAUGGAUCACCUAGAAUAGUCAAAUAAGCUAUGAGUAAUCCUUGUAUCAUUAUAAUAGUAAUAAUACAGUAGAUACGCUAUAUUUAUAAUAUAAUAA